rnacentral:rRNA from 1 species
AUACGAAGGGGGCUAGCGUUGUUCGGAAUUACUGGGCGUAAAGCGCGCGUAGGCGGAUUGGUCAGUUAGGGGUGAAAUCCCAGGGCUUAACCCUGGAACUGCCUCUAAUACUGCCAGUCUUGAGUUCGGGAGAGGUGAGUGGAAUUCCUAGUGUAGAGGUGAAAUUCGUAGAUAUUAGGAAGAACACCAGUGGCGAAGGUGGCUCACUGGCCCGAUACUGACGCUGAGGCGCGAAAGCGUGGGGAGCAAACAGGAUUAGAAACCCCAGUAGUCC